AUGGGAAACUUCAGCUCGUGGUGCGGAGGGGAGACGUCGUCGAGAUGCGUUACCAAGACCGCGACGGGCGCGCACAAAUUCGAGGUGACAAACUACUCGCUGCUCGACGGCAUGGGCGCCGGCAACUGUGUAAGCUCCAACACGUUCAGCGUCGGCGGCUACGACUGGUGCAUCAAUUUCUUCCCUGACGCGUACAGUGGCUGCGCGUUCGCCUGCCUAUGUCUCCAAGGAACGGCCAAGGAGCCGGGCGUGAUGGUGAAGUCCACGCUGAGCUUUCUGGGGAGCGACGGCAAGCCGUAUAAAGGCACGGAACCGGUGACCGCCACACGAACUCUUCCCUUCUCACAUGUAGGUAUCGAGAUUUUCAGUGGUUGGGAAGAUCGGGUGAUUGUUGAGAAGUCUAAGCUGCAGGCUGACGGCUGCUGCACCAUCAGGUGUGAUCUGACCGUCAUGAGAAACACCGUCGCAUAG
rnacentral:rRNA from 1 species